UCUCUAGAAGUGGCCAUUAGAUAUUCAUCUGUUCACAGUUAGACAAACUGUCUAUAAAUGGAGAUGAUUUAGUACUAUAGGUACUCUCACUAGAAGUGGCCGUUAGAUAUUCAUCUGUCCACAGUUAGACAAACUGUCUAUAAAUGGAGAUGAUUUAGUACUAUAGGUACUCUCUCUAGAAGUGGCCGUUAGAUAUUCAUCUGUCCACAGUUAGACAAACUGUCUAUAAAUGGAGGUGAUUUAGUACUAUAGGUACUCUCACUAGAAGUGGCCGUUAGAUAUUCAUCUGUCCACAGUGAGACAAACUGUCUAUAAAUGGAGAUGAUUUAGUACUAUAGGUACUCUCACUAGAAGUGGCCGUUAGAUAUUCAUCUGUCCACAGUUAGACAAACUGUCUAUAAAUGGAGGUGAUUUAGUACUAUAGGUACUCUCUCUAGAAGUGGCCGUUAGAUAUUCAUCUGUCCACAGUUAGACAAACUGUCUAUAAAUGGAGGUGAUUUAGUACUAUAGGUACUCUCACUAGAAGUGGCCGUUAGAUAUUCAUCUGUCCACAGUGAGACAAACUGUCUAUAAAUGGAGAUGAUUUAGUACUAUAGGUACUCUCACUAGAAGUGGCCGUUAGAUAUUCAUCUGUCCACAGUUAGACAAACUGUCUAUAAAUGGAGGUGAUUUAGUACUAUAGGUACUCUCUCUAGAAGUGGCCGUUAGAUAUUCAUCUGUCCACAGUUAGACAAACUGUCUAUAAAUGGAGGUGAUUUAGUACUAUAGGUACUCUCACUAGAAGUGGCCGUUAGAUAUUCAUCUGUCCACAGUGAGACAAACUGUCUAUAAAUGGAGAUGAUUUAGUACUAUAGGUACUCUCACUAGAAGUGGCCGUUAGAUAUUCAUCUGUCCACAGUUAGACAAACUGUCUAUAAAUGGAGAUGAUUUAGUACUAUAGGUACUCUCACUAGAAGUGACCGUUAGAUAUUCAUCUGUCCACAGUGAGACAAACUGUCUAUAAAUGGAGAUGAUUUAGUACUAUAGGUACUCUCACUAGAAGUGUCCGUUAGAUAUUCAUCUGUCCACAGUUAGACAAACUGUCUAUAAAUGGAGAUGAUUUAGUACUAUAGGUACUCUCACUAGAAGUGGCCGUUAGAUAUUCAUCUGUCCACAGUGAGACAAACUGUCUAUAAAUGGAGAUGAUUUAGUACUAUAGGUACUCUCUCUAGAAGUGUCCGUUAGAUAUUCAUCUGUCCACAGUUAGACAAACUGUCUAUAAAUGGAGAUGAUUUAGUACUAUAGGUACUCUCACUAGAAGUGGCCGUUAGAUAUUCAUCUGUCCACAGUGAGACAAACUGUCUAUAAAUGGAGAUGAUUUAGUAC